rnacentral:rRNA from 1 species
CGCGUAGGCGGUCCUAUAAGUCAGCUGUGAAAGCCCGGGGCUUAACCCCGGAAGUGCAGUUGAAACUAUAGGACUUGAGUAUGGGAGAGGGAAGUGGAAUUCCUGGUGUAGCGGUGAAAUGCGUAGAUAUCAGGAGGAACAUCGGUGGCGAAGGCGACUUCCUGGACCAAUACUGACGCUGAGGCGCGAAGGCGUGGGGAGCAAACA